rnacentral:rRNA from 1 species
CCCCUAGAUGUUCUGGGCCGCACGCGCGCUACACUGAACAGUUCAACAAGUCUUAACCUUGGCCGAUAGGUCUGGGUAAUCUUUGAACGCUGUUCGGGAUUGGGAUAGACCUUUGCAAUUAUGGGUCUUCAACGAGGAAUUCCUAGUAAACGCAAGUCAUCAGCUUGCAUUGAUUACGUCCCUGCCCUUUGUACACACCGCCCGUCGCACCUACCGAUUGAAUGGUCCGGUGAAAUCUCGGGACGGCGGCUUGGUCGCUUGCGUCCGACUGCUGAAACUUGAUUAAACCAUAUCAUUUAGAGGAAGGUGAANUCGUANCA